CAACUACUCCCUCUGUCCCAAAUUUCUUGUCUUAGAUUUGCCUAGAUACGGAUGUAUCUAAUACUAAAAUGUGACUUGAUACAUCCGUAUCUAGACAAAUCUAAGACAAUAAUUUUGGGAUGGAGGGAGUACUUU
rnacentral:pre_miRNA from 1 species